rnacentral:rRNA from 1 species
AACGAACGCUGGCGGCAGGCUUAACACAUGCAAGUCGAGCGCAUCCUUCGGGGUGAGCGGCGGACGGGUGAGUAACGCGUGGGAACGUGCCUUCUUUUCCGGAUUAGCCUCGGGAAACUGAGAGUAAUGCCUUAUACGCCCGCAAGGGGAAAGAUUUAUCGGAGGAGGAUCGGCCCGCGUUGGAUUAGGUAGUUGGUGGGGUAACGGCCUACCAAGCCGACGAUCCAUAGCUGGUUUGAGAGGAUGAUCAGCCACACUGGGACUGAGACACGGCCCAGACUCCUACGGGAGGCAGCAGUGGGGAAUCUUGGACAAUGGGGGCAACCCUGAUCCAGCCAUGCCGCGUGAUCGAUGAAGGCCUUAGGGUUGUAAAGAUCUUUCAGCUGGGAAGAUAAUGACGGUACCAGCAGAAGAAGCCCCGGCUAACUCCGUG